GAAACAAGCCGUUGAAUCCUAUCGCCAGCGACUUCGGUUCUGGUGGUGGUCCCCACCGGUGCACGGGUAGCUGCCGAGCAAGACACUAAAAGGUUAUGCCUUUUACUAGGAAAUUUAAAAAUUGACGAAUUGAGAUUGAAUGGAGAGAAUUUAAUUAUGUUUCCAUUGCUUUUAGGGUUAGGAUUGUUGUUUUUUGAGAGUUUUGGAAAGGAAAGGGAAGUUGGUAUAUUGAAGGUUGUAGAGAUCAUGUUUGGAAGGAGAGAAAGUGAGGGAAAGAAAGAAAACCGAUAGGGAAAGAGAUUAAGGCAGAGCAGGCAAAGAGGAGGAAAGAUUUGAUAAUCUUAAACUGCGGGCUGUUUCUGGUGUGUCAGAGUGAGCA
rnacentral:misc_RNA from 1 species